rnacentral:lncRNA from 1 species
UAUUCAUCUCUUCAUGAGCAUGUUGUAUCUCUCACCCUCAUACCUGGCGUUCAGAUCACAUGUCUCCUUGAGCUUAUUACCCAGUAACCGGUAAUACCUCAUCCCGCUGCUUCCCCAGGAGUGUCCUUGUGGACAUCCCCAGCGAAGUCCCUUAGUGGAUUGUUUUCAUCCAGAUUUUAUCCGAAGUAUCCGUUGUGGAUAGUUUUUUGCUGUAUUGGCAUAUUCCCCAAUACAUGCAUCUUCGAGUCAGCUCGAGUCUUUCCAUUGGAUCUUUUCC